rnacentral:lncRNA from 1 species
CCCAAAUGUGGGAAUGCUAUGUGAUGAUUUUAUGAAAUACAAAAGUCAAAUGAAUUUUUCAUGAAGAAGUUAUCUCCCCAAGAUGCAAUAAUGGAAAAUUCCUUUCAAGAACUGGUGUUUAGACCUCACAAAAAUGCGCGGCAAAUUGCAUUGUGAUUUAUUUGUCAAUGUUUUUAUAGGUUAGGCGUUACUUUCAACCCCACAGCUGGAGUCAAUUUUUAAUAUUUAAAAGUGGAAAGAAAGCAAAACCUAAACACAUCCAGAGCUGUCUGUUUUAGAUUGUGCUUUUCCCAAACAGUGAUGUUUAGAACUGAACCCUGAGCAUGGUCGGUCUGUGGCCAGCUGGCACUUACUUCUCUGCGAUAUAGAAUUAAAGUAUCUGGAACUGGGCAGAUUACAUAUAAGACCUCCUAAAUUGUA